GGCAGCACCGGGAGAGCGACCUGGUAGCUGGCAGACAAAGCCCCCAUGGCACGAGCGAUUGUCAUGGGGAGCUUUCUGCGUUCUUCAGAUCUCCGAAAAGAGUUGGUGCAUUCGCACUAAAGCUGUGUAUUGCGACGAACUUGUUUGCAGCGGAUACCGCAUCGCUCGGGGAGAACGGCGUUCUCCUCGCGGUUCCGUGGUCCCG
rnacentral:sRNA from 10 species